rnacentral:tRNA from 1 species
GGACCCUUAGCUCAAUCGGUAGAGCUUUGUACUUAUGUGGUUAUCGUUAAGCAAUGCAAGGGUCCCGAGUUCGAUUCUCGGAGGGUCCA